GCACCAUCUGCUAACCCAGAUGAGCACUGAAGCUGAGGUCUCCUUUUUCCUUUGGUGCAUCCCAUCCUUUGUUCUUUCCCUCAGCUGAGGUGGGUCCACAGCACCCCGAGGACACCUGGCCAAGGCCUGAGGCACUGCCACCAUCCUCUGUGCACGCUCUCACCAUGAUGCUACCUACUGGGACAGAAGCUGGCAAUGUACUCUGGAAGUUCUGACACCUUACACAGGCAUGCUGGGAUUAGGAGACAGAGACCAGGAGCUCAUGGACGGCACCCAGACAGAGCCUCUUGUACGCUAAGGGAUACGAAACCUAGAAGAUGGAGCCAGUGACGCAGACCCAGGAGCUGCUAGCACCUGCAAGCCUGGCUUGUGUGAUUUGGGGACUGGGCUUCUGUCACCUGCCAGUCUCCGGCAGCUCUUGGUGCUCCAAAAUGAAAUGUCUCCUAACCAAUUCCUUGUCUCGAGAAUCCAGCCAGUACGCAGCACAUCUCUGCUGACCUCAGACUUGAAGUGGGUCCCUGAAGAACAUUACCAGAAGCUGACCAGGAAGGACAUGUCCUAAUGCCCAGCCAAGGGCACAGUUUCCACUGCAGUUUUUGCUAAAAUGGGUUGCAUGUCCUAUUUAGCACCAAGGACAGAAGACAGGCUGGAAGGGUGAAGUCCCGGGCUUGUGGGUACAGUUAUCUCUAAGUGUGAGGGUGUAUUAGUUCCUCAAGUGAUGGACUUUUCCGCUUCCCAGUGUGGCACCCAUGUCCCUGGAGACCCCCUCAUCUGUCUUCUGGAAGGAACAUUUAUCUAUAAGCCUACUUCAAUCAGUUGGCUUCUGGGUGGGGGGUGAGGUGUGGGGGUAGGAACACCAUUCUCUUCCUGCAACCUUGCUCUGAGAGCCCAUCACAGUCCCUCACAUCUGAACCUGUGCUGCCUCGGCCUCUUGCGCAUGUGGCCGUGACACCCGAGCUCAGCUGCAGAAUAAAAUCUCAGGACUUGGCCAGAGAAGAAUCUUAAAAUCUUAAACGGACAAACUCAAGUUAGAAGGGGGUGCUCCCCGGAAACUAGCUCCCAGAACUCAGUGAACUUCCUGUUCAAGGCUUGGGAUUCCGCAGCCUCACUAGGCACCAAGUCAACCCUGGUCCUGCUGACUGACUCACUUUGCCUUCUCUGGGGCUGUGACUCCUGUGAGGCCAAGCUAUGGAUAUCCAGGCUGUAAUUCUCCAGGGGUUGUGGCUACCCAGAGCCUUUAAAUCAAGGCCUGACUGUCAAGGUCAUGGGUUGGGUGAGUGCAACAUGCUGGAAAGACCAUGGAGAGUGACUCCCACCACUGUGCAGCCGAGGCGGAGAGGAAAAGGCAGCUAUAUGCAGCUCCAGGGUCCCCGGAUCGGUCUCUCUCCUGAGGCAUGGCCCCCAUCCCCAUGUGAAGCACAUUCAGUGCUGGGGAAUUAGGCUGCUUACAGAGUAUACUUUCCAGACCUGGGCACUGGCUUAAAUGUAGAACAGUAAGCCCCGUCCGUCUCCAGCCACUUUCCCAUUACUGGCUUUCAUAAACGACGACGAUGACAACAACAAAUCCCUUUUGACUUUUGAGACAGGGUCUCACUAUGCAACCCAGGCUGGCCUGGAACUUGCUAUGUAGCUCAAGUUGACCCCAAACUUGCUACUCCAGAGUGCUAUGAAUUACAGACACGUGCAUCCACCCCCAGCUCUUCAGAAUUUUAGUGAAGCAAUGAAAUCACACAUCCACAAGCCGGAUGGAAUACACAUGAAACAGUGGCCCUGUAUUGUCUACAUGGUCACAACUGUGGAAUCAAGGUAGCCUUAUGAGUCCCUGUUGAGGCACAUGCAGGUUACAGGAGCCACACCCCUGCACCGCUCUUCCUUAAAUCCUGCGUCACUGAUGCCUAAAAGCAGGUUUUUCCAACACAGAAAAUGAGGCCGAGGGGCAUGAUUCUCAAGGUCACGGAGAAGGGCUUCACUCAGUUCUACCCGACGACUCCAGAGCUUGAAGGAGAAGCUGGGGCUCCCAGUGGUGUAAAGGGGACUGGCUGGCCCACGGCCACCAUGCCUAGGCACUCUAAUAGUGACCCAAACACCAGGCCAGGCCAGGGAUACAGCCAAGAAAACACAUCAAGCCUUCUAGAAAGGAUGCCCAAAGCACCUCCUCCAUUGCUAUCUUAGUGGGAAGGUUGGUCUUCAGAUUCCGCCGCCCUCACUGAACAGACCCACCCAUCAACCAAAGACUGCAGACAUCCCCGUCAAGAACUGCACUGGGCCAAGGAUCUCACCAGGCAGGGUUGGUUCCUCCCUCCAGCGGGGUCUUAGGCUUUGAGGCCUAAGGAAAAAACUACCAUGAUAGGAACUGUCACCCAAUGUAGCACCAAGGAAGAGAAAAACUCCAAAUUCCCUUUGAUAUUUUACAAGGCCUCUGAGACCCACGCCUGAGGCUUGGUGGCUGGUCACCAGAGACCUCAGAACCGUAGUCUAGGGAUAGAUACCAGAUCACUCUUCACAGUGGCCUGUGACUCAACAUGUCCUGAUGGACAUGCCAGGUAAGACAUCCCCCUGGCUCGGAGGUUAAAAACAGAAUCCCACAAAUCUGUGUGUGACUUUCUCUGCAGGAACAGCCUUGAGGUGACCUGCGGCUGGUGUCUCAGAUGCCCUGAGCUUUGCAUGCACUACUAGCCCACAGGCCAGACAAGGUGUGAUGAAACCCCGAGAUAGCCAGGGACUCUUGGGCUUCUGCCAAGGCUCUGACUCAGAAGGAACAUCCUCCCACAAAGCCUCAGGCAGAGAGAGAACUCAGGGACCACACUUCAGCCAUAAUGAGCAAGGUCAGGAGGGCCGGGGAGCAGGCUGUCCCACUCUGGGGCUCCCACAGCCACUCUCCAGCAGCCUAGGUAGGGUGCCCUUCCAGCCAGUAACUGGUAAGAGAAGACGGCGAAGAAGAAGGGUUCCAGAGGACAGAAUCCAAAGCGAGUACCUGUCAAUCAAAGCUCCCUGUGUAUUUCUGCUAUUAAUUCCCCGUGGCAUGUGAGGUGUUUAUUGCACAUCUGUUUCUUCUACUUUCAAUCAGGCCAGGGAAGAAAGAUCUUUUCCACCUGCCUCCGACACACUAGCCGAGUUUUCCAGAGAAAGAGCAGCCUGGAACAUGUCUCCCAAGACACCUCUCUCUCCUUUCCCGUCACGAGACUCGUUUACCAGAUUUUGAUGAAUGCGCACUGUGCACAGGGCCAGCAAAGUAGGAAAGCACGCUUGCAAGCUAGUGACCCACUGAUGGAGAGACCCACGCACCUCUGCAGAGGCCAGGGCAGAGCAACACGGGAGAACAAGCAGCGUUGCUGAGGACUGCAGGCAGGAACCACAGAUGCCUACCUUCCCCUGAGUAUGGCCCAUGUCCUGUGUGGCCCCAGAGCGAGGCCUGGCUGGUUCAGAGGCACAUCCUUCCUGGUCAUAAAAGAAAUGUAAGUACACAAAAUUCCAACCUCCCACGUCGCCCAUGCGCCAACCUGGUGCCUUUUCUCUGGUCUCCAGCUACUGCCUUGCAGAACUGGAUGCUUAUAAGGUGGUGCAUCCUGACAGGGUGUGAGUAGUUCUUAAAUGCUAACUAAAACUGUGCCCAUGGCAACAGAGAAUGCCAGAGACUAAACACAAUGGAAGACCAGAACAGGAAAGAAACCUGCCUGAGGAACGUGGAAGUGGACAGGAACCUGCAGAGCCCACGCGUGGUCCCUGGACGUCAGAGGCCCAGCUCACCCUGAUGUCAAGGUCAUCUGAGACAGUUUUCACCAUGCGGUCCUAAUUGGUCUGGAACUAUGUAGCCCAUGCUAGACCAGAACUUGUGGCGAUACUUCUGCCUCCCAAGUGAAGGGCUACAGAGGCCUGAGCCUUCAUCAUGUUCAGACUCUCCUUCUGAAGGCUGAGAGCUACUGUGAUCAAGUACCCGGGGUCCCCCUGCCCACCCGGCACAGGGGCUUCAACACAAGCUAGGGGACAGAGGAGGGAGGAUGUACCAGUUUGCAGGGCCUUUUGUGCAUGAACCAGGAGGCAGCAGCAAUUGGGAUGGCACAGGCCUGGGUGUCCCAGGCGCUCACAUCACAAAGGCACAGUGAGAGGCACAGCCGACUCAUGCCCGAGGACUAGGGUUGUCUGUGGGCACUCUGUGUCCAUUGAAAUCAAGCAGCUCAUCCCUGGGAGCGGAACACAUGUUACUACCCUGUCCCUCCAAAGGGGGCUGGGGCCUGGCAGACCUGACUCAGUACUCUCUCCACACCACCCAGGCCGAAUGCCCAGAAGCACAGAUGUUACUGUCAUGUUGAAGCUAAGGCGGCCCCUGGGGUCAGCAGAAGAGGAAAGAGGCCCCGUCUGCUCCACUUUCUUCAUUCUGCGUGAGUUUUUCAGGCUCACAAAGAAGGGGACUCUUGAGGACCCUCCUGGAGGCUCUCCAUCUGUGAGGCCAGCAGGCUGACUCUCCCAAGUGUGGCAGCUGGUCAGGGUCCGCACCCCCUCCUCUCCAGAGUCACUUUUUCUAUGUAUUCUGGGUUCAAAUCCCCACACAGAGGGAAACACCAGAACGCACCAAGUAACAUUUAUCUCUCUAUAUAUUAAAGGUUUCUGACAGGAAGGCCCCAAGCAGGGAGGCCAGCUUUGAAUGGGAUAGGUAUAGGAAAAUGGACCGCAGAACUCGGUACUCCAUUCUCCAGACAAGAGUUCCUACUGUCCAUUCUGGCGUGGACGUGCGGAACUAAAGAGGGAGCAGCCACUCUCCGGGGCCAAAACUACAUGGAAGAGUCGAGCAACUUCAUUUGGAAUGAAGCUUUGAUGAGCCCGAAUGAAAAUGAUAAAGAUAAUAAAAAAAUAUGGGCAGCUGCUGGAACACAAGGAAGGCCAAGGACGCAACAGGACCCGAGAGGUGACAAGAAAGUGAACUCAACCCUAGAGACAGCAAUUCGUUAGCUAGGCGGUCAAGAGGACACAACAGGGUCAUUCGGAAAAAGCUCCCCGGCAAUAAAAGCUCUCGGGUCCAGUCCUCAGUGCACGAGUCGUUUAAGUGUCCCCUCAUUAAACGCUACUAAGCUCCCAGAA